rnacentral:rRNA from 1 species
CCCUUAGAUGUUCUGGGCCGCACGCGCGCUACACUGAUGCAUUCAACGAGUUUCUUCCUGGUCCGAGAGGAAUGGGUAACCUUUUGAAAGUGCAUCGUGAUAGGGAUAGACUAUUGCAAUUAUUGGUCUUCAACGAGGAAUUCCUAGUAGACGUGGUUCAUCAGACUGCAUCGAUUACGUCCCUGCCCUUUGUACACACCGCCCGUCGCUCCUACCGAUUGAAUGCUCAGGUGAGCCAUUCGGACUUUCAUCAUGCUGGUUUCCAGUUUUGAUGAAGGAAAGUCUUGCGAACCUUAUCAUUUAGAGGAAGGAGAAGUCGUAACA